rnacentral:rRNA from 1 species
UACGUAGGGCGCAAGCGUUUGUCCGGAAUUAUUGGGCGUAAAGAGCUCGUAGGCGGCUUGUCACGUCGGGUGUGAAAGCCCGGGGCUUAACCCCCGGGUCUGCAUUCGAUACGGGCUGGCUAGAGUGUGGUAGGGGAGAUCGGAAUUCCUGGUGUAGCGGUGAAAUGCGCAGAUAUCAGGAGGAACACCGGUGGCGAAGGCGGAUCUCUGGGCCAUUACUGACGCUGAGGAGCGAAAGCGUGGGGAGCGAACAGG